GAAUACUAUCAAGAAAUGUUUUUCCUGGCAAUGACGGCUAUUUCUUCAAUGCUAAUGAUGGCUAGUGCAUUCACGAGACGUCCAUUCCUGUUCAUACCAAUUUGGAUAGUUGGUUUUGCUUAUCUUGGUUAUAUGUAUUAUAUAAAAAUAUCUCAGUUCCA